rnacentral:rRNA from 1 species
GGGUUGUGAGGUUAAGCGACUAAGCGUACACGGUGGAUGCCCUGGCAGUCAGAGGCGAUGAAGGACGUGCUAAUCUGCGAUAAGCGUCGGUAAGGUGAUAUGAACCGUUAUAACCGGCGAUUUCCGAAUGGGGAAACCCAGUGUGAUUCGUCACACUAUCAUUAACUGAAUCCAUAGGUUAAUGAGGCGAACCGGGGGAACUGAAACAUCUAAGUACCCCGAGGAAAAGAAAUCAACCGAGAUUCCCCCAGUAGCGGCGAGCGAACGGGGAGCAGCCCAGAGCCUGAAUCAGUGUGUGUGUUAGUGGAAGCGUCUGGAAAGGCGUGCGAUACAGGGUGACAGCCCCGUACACAAAAAUGCACAUACUGUGAGCUCGAUGAGUAGGGCGGGACACGUGGUAUCCUGUCUGAAUAUGGGGGGACCAUCCUCCAAGGCUAAAUACUCCUGACUGACCGAUAGUGAACCAGUACCGUGAGGGAAAGGCGAAAAGAACCCCGGCGAGGGGAGUGAAAAAGAACCUGAAACCGUGUACGUACAAGCAGUGGGAGCACGCUUAGGCGUGUGACUGCGUACCUUUGUAUAAUGGGUCAGCGACUUAUAUUCUGUAGCAAGGUUAACCGAAUAGGGGAGCCGAAGGGAAACCGAGUCUUAACUGGGCGUUAAGUUGCAGGGUAUAGACCCGAAUCCCGGGGAUCCAGCCAUGGGCAGGUUGAAGGUUGGGUAACACUAACUGGAGGACCGAACCGACUAAUGUUGAAAAAUUAGCGGAUGACUUGUGGCUGGGGGUGAAAGGCCAAUCAAACCGGGAGAUAGCUGGUUCUCCCCGAAAGCUAUUUAGGUAGCGCCUCGUGAAUUCAUCUCCGGGGGUAGAGCACUGUUUCGGCAAGGGGGUCAUCCCGACUUACCAACCCGAUGCAAACUGCGAAUACCGGAGAAUGUUAUCACGGGAGACACACGGCGGGUGCUAACGUCCGUCGUGAAGAGGGAAACAACCCAGACCGCCAGCUAAGGUCCCAAAGUCAUGGUUAAGUGGGAAACGAUGUGGGAAGGCCCAGACAGCCAUGAUGUUGGCUUAGAAGCAGCCAUCAUUUAAAGAAAGCGUAAUAGCUCACUGGUCGAGUCGGCCUGCGCGGAAGAUGUAACGGGGCUAAACCAUGCACCGAAGCUGCGGCAGCGACGCUUAUGCGUUGUUGGGUAGGGGAGCGUUCUGUAAGCCUGUGAAGGUGUGCUGUGAGGUAUGCUGGAGGUAUCAGAAGUGCGAAUGCUGACAUAAGUAACGAUAAAGCGGGUGAAAAGCCCGCUCGCCGGAAGACCAAGGGUUCCUGUCCAACGUUAAUCGGGGCAGGGUGAGUCGACCCCUAAGGCGAGGCCGAAAGGCGUAGUCGAUGGGAAACAGGUUAAUAUUCCUGUACUUGGUGUUACUGCGAAGGGGGGACGGAGAAGGCUAUGUUGGCCGGGCGACGGUUGUCCCGGUUUAAGCGUGUAGGCUGGUUUUCCGUGCAAAUCCGGAAAAUCAAGGCCGAGGCGUGAUGACGAGGCACUACGGUGCUGAAGCAACAAAUGCCCUGCUUCCAGGAAAGCCUCUAAGCAUCAGGUAACAUCAAAUCGUACCCCAAACCGACACAGGUGGUCAGGUAGAGAAUACCAAGGCGCUUGAGAGAACUCGGGUGAAGGAACUAGGCAAAAUGGUGCCGUAACUUCGGGAGAAGGCACGCUGAUACGUAGGUGAAGCGACUUGCUCGUGGAGCUGAAAUCAGUCGAAGAUACCAGCUGGCUGCAACUGUUUAUUAAAAACACAGCACUGUGCAAACACGAAAGUGGACGUAUACGGUGUGACGCCUGCCCGGUGCCGGAAGGUUAAUUGAUGGGGUUAGCGCAAGCGAAGCUCUUGAUCGAAGCCCCGGUAAACGGCGGCCGUAACUAUAACGGUCCUAAGGUAGCGAAAUUCCUUGUCGGGUAAGUUCCGACCUGCACGAAUGGCGUAAUGAUGGCCAGGCUGUCUCCACCCGAGACUCAGUGAAAUUGAACUCGCUGUGAAGAUGCAGUGUACCCGCGGCAAGACGGAAAGACCCCGUGAACCUUUACUAUAGCUUGACACUGAACAUUGAGCCUUGAUGUGUAGGAUAGGUGGGAGGCUUUGAAGUGUGGACGCCAGUCUGCAUGGAGCCGACCUUGAAAUACCACCCUUUAAUGUUUGAUGUUCUAACGUGGACCCGUGAUCCGGGUUGCGGACAGUGUCUGGUGGGUAGUUUGACUGGGGCGGUCUCCUCCUAAAGAGUAACGGAGGAGCACGAAGGUUGGCUAAUCCUGGUCGGACAUCAGGAGGUUAGUGCAAUGGCAUAAGCCAGCUUGACUGCGAGCGUGACGGCGCGAGCAGGUGCGAAAGCAGGUCAUAGUGAUCCGGUGGUUCUGAAUGGAAGGGCCAUCGCUCAACGGAUAAAAGGUACUCCGGGGAUAACAGGCUGAUACCGCCCAAGAGUUCAUAUCGACGGCGGUGUUUGGCACCUCGAUGUCGGCUCAUCACAUCCUGGGGCUGAAGUAGGUCCCAAGGGUAUGGCUGUUCGCCAUUUAAAGUGGUACGCGAGCUGGGUUUAGAACGUCGUGAGACAGUUCGGUCCCUAUCUGCCGUGGGCGCUGGAGAACUGAGGGGGGCUGCUCCUAGUACGAGAGGACCGGAGUGGACGCAUCACUGGUGUUCGGGUUGUCAUGCCAAUGGCACUGCCCGGUAGCUAAAUGCGGAAGAGAUAAGUGCUGAAAGCAUCUAAGCACGAAACUUGCCCCGAGAUGAGUUCUCCCUGACCCUUUAAGGGUCCUGAAGGAACGUUGAAGACGACGACGUUGAUAGGCCGGGUGUGUAAGCGCAGCGAUGCGUUGAGCUAACCGGUACUAAUGAACCGUGAGGCUUAACCUUACAACGCCGAAG